AUGAACGCUGGCGGCGUGCCUCAUCCCUGCAAGUCGAGCGAACGGACGAGAAGCUUGCUUUUCUGAUGUUAGCGGCGGACGGGUGAGUAACACGUGGAUAACCUACCUAUAAGACUGGGAUAACUUCGGGAAACCGGAGCUAAUACCGGAUAAUAUUUUGAACCGCAUGGUUCAAAAGUGAAAGACGGUCUUGCUGUCACUUAUAGAUGGAUCCGCGCUGCAUUAGCUAGUUGGUAAGGUAACGGCUUACCAAGGCAACGAUGCAUAGCCGACCUGAGAGGGUGAUCGGCCACACUGGAACUGAGACACGGUCCAGACUCCUACGGGAGGCAGCAGUAGGGAAUCUUCCGCAAUGGGCGAAAGCCUGACGGAGCAACGCCGCGUGAGUGAUGAAGGUCUUCGGAUCGUAAAACUCUGUUAUUAGGGAAGAACAUAUGUGUAAGUAACUGUGCACAUCUUGACGGCACCUAAUCAGAAAGCCACGGCUAACUACGUG
rnacentral:rRNA from 1 species